UACGGGGGGGGCAAGCGUUGUUCGGAAUUACUGGGCGUAAAGGGCUCGUAGGCGGCCAACUAAGUCGGAUGUGAAAUCCCCGGGCUUAACCUGGGAACUGCAUUUGUGACUGGCGGGCUAGAGUAUGGCAGAGGGGGGUAGAAUUCCACGUGUAGCAGUGAAAUGCGUAGAGAUGUGGAGGAAUACCGAUGGCGAAGGCAGCCCCCUGGGCCAAUACUGACGCUCAUGCACGAAAGCGUGGGGAGCAAACAGG
rnacentral:rRNA from 1 species